CCAGUCCUUCUUGUCCUGGAGUUUUGGGCUGCUUACAGCAGUUACAUAAUAGCAGUUUCCCUGAAUUGGAUGUGAAGUUUUCCCUAAGAACUCUCCAUGGAGCGGGAAAAAUGAGAAAUGGAAGCAAAUUAGUAAGACCAUCUGCGGAGCUCGUAUUUUCUCCAUCCUUGGAAUCCCCAUCAGCUCUGGAUGUCACCCUACAUCAUCAGCUCAGAGACUAAAGCAUCUUCUCCCCUGACGCUGGGAACAGCUGGGGUUAGUGAGCUGGAACGCAAGCAGAUCAAUACCACCUGCGCUUGAGGACAUUGCUGCUGCUGCUGCUGCUAAGUCACUUCAGUCGUGUCCGACUCUGUGUGACCCCAUAGACAGCAGCCCACCAGGCUCCCCCAUCCCUGGGAUUCUCCAGGCAAGAACACUGAAGUAGGUUGCCAUUUCCUUCUCCAAUGCAUGAAAGUGAAAAGUGAAAGGGAAGUCGCUCAGUCAUGUCCGACUCUUUGAGACCCCAUGGACUGCAGCCCACCCGGCUCCUCCGUCCAUGGGAUUUUCCAGGCAAGAGUACUGGAGUGGGGUGCCAUCACCUUCUCCAGAGGAC
rnacentral:lncRNA from 1 species